rnacentral:rRNA from 1 species
AACGAACGCUGGCGGCAGGCCUAACACAUGCAAGUCGAGCGAGCAUUUCGGUGCUAGCGGCGGACGGGUGAGUAACGCGUGGGAACGUGCCCUUUUCUGCGGAAUAGUCCUGGGAAACUGGGGGUAAUACCGCAUACGCCCUUUUGGGGAAAGAUUUAUCGGAGAAGGAUCGGCCCGCGUUGGAUUAGGUAGUUGGUGGGGUAAUGGCCCACCAAGCCGACGAUCCAUAGCUGGUUUGAGAGGAUGAUCAGCCACACUGGGACUGAGGCACGGCCCAGACUCCUACGGGAGGCAGCAGUGGGGAAUCUUAGACAAUGGGGGCAACCCUGAUCUAGCCAUGCCGCGUGAGUGAUGAAGGCCUUAGGGUUGUAAAGCUCUUUCAGCUGGGAAGAUAAUGACGGUACCAGCAGAAGAAGCCCCGGCUAACUCCGUG